rnacentral:rRNA from 1 species
CCUACGGGUGGCAGCAGUGGGGAAUAUUGCACAAUGGGGGCAACCCUGAUGCAGCGACGCCGCGUGCGCGAUGAAGUAUCUCGGUAUGUAAAGCUCUAUCAGCAGGGAAGAAAAUGACGGUACCUGACUAAUAAGCCCCGGCUAACUACGUGCCAGCAGCCGCGGUAAUACGGAGGGGGCUGGCGUUAUCCGGAUUUACUGGGUGUAAAGGGAGCGUAGACGGUCCUUCAAGCCAGAUGUGAAAGGCCGGGGCUCAACCCCGGGACUGCAGUUGGAACUGUAAGGCUAGAGUGUCGUAGAGGCAGGCGGAAUUCCGAGUGUAGCGGUGAAAUGCGUAGAUAUUAGGAGGAACACCAGUGGCGAAGGCGGCCUGCUGGACGAUGACUGACGCUGAGGCUCGAAAGCGUGGGGAGCAAACAGGAUUAGAUACCCUUGUAGUC